rnacentral:lncRNA from 1 species
GGAGCAGCAAUCCUUCUUUGAAUUGUUGCUAUGAAAGGACUCCAUAAGUAUGUUCAAACCAGUCAAACCACUGUAUGGCAUCCCCUUCAAGAUGUAUAGCUGCAAUUUUCACCAUAGAUGCGUCCGCGGUUUUGUGGUACCGAAAAUAUCGCUCCGUGCGCGAGAUCCAACCAAUCGGGUCUCCUUCUUCCCAUCUAGGGAAGUCUACUCUCAUG